CUCUGAAAAUCUUUACAAAAUCUCUAAGAGAUUUUUGGUCUCUAAAGUAUGGAGCAUAAGAACUUAAGGAUAAUAGAUUGAUGGAAAAUAGUGAUAUUAACCACUAAACAAAAACCAUAUUCAAGUUUAUAAAUAGGGAUCCAUAUCCCCUCAAUUGUGCAAACCAUUCACAGUGUGUCUUCACACACUUAAAACUUCACACAACCAACCCUCACUACCCACCUCCCUCUCGAUUCUUUUUCAGUAAACAUAAAGAACUCAUGACACACACACAUAAAAUACCCUCUCCCUCUCACUAUUACCUAAACAAACACAGAGAAAUCAAUUUCUCACCCAAACCACACACACACCUUUCGGUCCCUCUCUCCCUCGUCGACGUCUGACCACCGGUAAAUCGAUGGAGCCGGCGACUCCCCUCUCUCCGGCGACUUUCACCUGCAACACCACUCCCUUUUCACCGAUCGUACCCCCCCCCCCUGUGCUGAUUAUCGGCUGAUGGUGGUGGCGGCACGGCAUCAACGAGCCGGUGGUGGUGCGGCGGCUGCUAUCAGGGAGGAGAGAGAGAGACUCGGAGGAAAGAGAGAGCGGCGGUGGCGGUGGAUCCUCACGGCGGCGACGGUGGCGGCGUGGUUUUGUUCAGCGGCGGAGGUGGACGCGGGACCCACAACAGGUGGCAGUGGAUGGUGUCGAUAGGCAGCAGAUGAAAGAGAGAGAGAGAGCUGAGAAGAAUGAAAGAACCGGCGGUCGGUGCCUUUGACCGCCGGACAUUGUGUUUAUCCGGCAAAGUUCACCGGUUUCGGGUUGUUCAAGUCUUGAUUCAGAUCCGAAGUGGUUCGAGUCUUGUUCGGGUCUCGCGGCACGGUUCAAAACGGGUCAGCAGCUCAGUCAAACGGCUCGGUUCGGUUUGACUCGGUCAAACCGAGUCAACUCAGUGUUCGGGUCAGCCGGUUCGCAACAGUAUAUGAUUUUGGUUUCGGUUCAGAUUCGCAUAUGGGGCUCGCAGAUCAAGUCUUGCGAUUCGGCCCGGGUCGACUCGGUCAAACCCGAGUCAACUCAGUUAACGCAGUCAAAGCAAGUCAACUCAGUUGACUUGGUCAACCCAGUCAACCCUUUCAGCAAUCGACACGAGAGUUUUGGGUAAUAGUUAAAGCCGUAGUUUCGUUAUGUUAUUUUUAUAAUUUUUAUCUAACGUGACAAACGAGCUCGAACCGACUAACGAAUCUGCAUUUAGUGAGUUGAUUAUUCAUAUUUGGCAUUUUGAUAAA